CUGCCUCUCUGAGCUGGUUUCAUCUCAAAAUACUUUGGCUUCUGUCACUUUGAAUGACAGUUGAACCAAAAAUGUUUGCUCUUGGUAAAAUGGAGGUGUCCUCUGUGAAAUAAAUCUGGCAAAAAAGAAAUCUGGCAAACUAGAGCAAAUGACUGCAAUCUCAUCCUCGGGUUUUGUGAGAAAAUUUGAUGUCUCCUGAUGGGAAAAUUUCCUGAAACACAAUAUACUUACUUAACAAAGGUUUA